UACGUAGGGUGCGAGCGUUGUCCGGAAUUAUUGGGCGUAAAGAGCUCGUAGGCGGUGUGUCACGUCGGCCGUGAAAACCUGCAGCUUAACUGUGGGCGUGCGGUCGAUACGGGCAUCACUGGAGUUCGGCAGGGGAGACUGGAAUUCCUGGUGUAGCGGUGAAAUGCGCAGAUAUCAGGAGGAACACCGAUGGCGAAGGCAGGUCUCUGGGCCACUACUGACGCUCAUGCACGAAAGCGUGGGGAGCAAACAGG
rnacentral:rRNA from 1 species